rnacentral:rRNA from 1 species
GACGAACGCUGGCGGCGUGCUUAACACAUGCAAGUCGAACGGUGAAGCGCCUUCCUUUUUGGUGGGUGUGGAUGAGUGGCGAACGGGUGAGUAACACGUUAGUAACCUGCCCCCUUCUGCUGGAUAACCGCAUGAAAGUGUGGCUAAUACGGGAUAUUCUGGGUCUGUCGCAUGAUGGGUCUGGGAAAGAUAUUGUUUCGGUGGUGGAUGGGCUCGCGGCCUAUCAGCUUGUUGGUGGGGUGAUGGCCUACCAAGGCGGUGACGAGUAGCCGGCCUGAGAGGGUGGGCGGCCACACUGGGACUGAGACACGGACCAGCCUCCUACGGGAGGCAGCAGUGGGGAUUAUUGCACGAUGGGAGCAAUCCUGAUGCAGCGCCGCCGCGUGAGGGAUGGAGGCCUUCGGGUUGUGAACCUCUUUCGCCAGUGAAGCAGGCCUGCCUUGUUUGUGGGUGGGUUGACGGUAGCUAGAUAAGAAGCGCCGGCUAACUACGUG